AACUGUAGCAGUAACAUUCCAGCAGACAACUUGAUUAUACUAUUUCUGGAUCACUAUUCCUUGUUUGACAGCUUUACAACAAUUAUCAUUGAAAUAUUCCACAGAUAGUGACAUACUGAAUUAUGAAUGUUGCUUGUCCAUUUUUAAAACAAUUUCCGGACAUAAUUUGUGACAUUUAUUACUCUGAAAUAUCAUAUUGAAACUCUGAGUAUUGAAAACUUUCAACUAUGAAACACAAGGUACACGUUUGACAGAAAUUAACUUAAUAAAUUGUGUAACCGUCAUCUGAAACAUAUUUAAAACCUAAUAGAGUUCAGAAAAAGAAAAACUACUUUUGAAGUUCUAGAUGUGAUCAAUGUACAUAACUUCUGAGAAACUGUCAGUGUCAAGAAGCAAGAGAACAGUCAUAAGGCAUAACAGCCUCGAUAACAACAGACCGGAAACUUAACAUCGACCAGGUUCUUCUUGUCCACAAACAUGCUGGAUAUGUUUUGCCAGUUGGAACAUCUAUUUCCAGAAAUUGUUGACAAAAACUUUUGUCUUAACAGCACAUUGAACAUGAAAAAGAUUCUACAGAUGAAAGACAGAUAGAAAAUGAAUGACUAUUCCAAUGAGCAAAGUGACAAAUCCACGCCAAACUUUCACCAUGAACCUAAAGAUUGCAACAAGAUCAGAGAAUAUAGCAAUCAGUGAUAUGAAAUUACAACCGAUAAAACAUCAAGAAAUUUUUCAACAGGAAUGCAUUGAACUGGAUAUUUCUGGAGAUGACAUUGCUGUCAUCAGUAAUUCAGAAAACAGUUGUGGAUUUAUAUUGCACAGUUUCUGGAUGUACCAGAGGCUUUCUAAAGCAUACAUCUUUAAACGACCACAUCAUCAUUGGGAACUGUCACUUCCAAUCAAAAUGUAAAUCUACCAGUGACACAUACAAAAACUUAUAUGCACUGAAGGUAACCCAGACUGUUGUUACUUGUUUCAACUUGAGUUUGAAUGCUGAGGAAACAACAAACACAAAUAAACUGAUGAAAGAGUGGGCUCUGAAAUCCAGGAAGGCUCAUGUCACCUUUUCCAUAGACCAAAAGAAAUGGCGUGCAGAUUUUUCGUACCACAACAUAUUGCUAGUUACUUCUCUUGUUAUUCAUUACAGAUAAACACCAAAUAUAGUGAUGGAAUGGCUUUUAAAUUAGAAAAUGAAACAUCAAUUAUCAUACAAAAAGUAAUGGCUAACAUUAAUGCAGACAAAUGAACCUGUGGUGACUGAUCUCAAUAUUUUGUUGAAUACAUUGUCUGUUUUCUAUUAUUACUUUUAAAAUUGCAACAUGUGCAAAGGCUGUAUUUUAUAUUUAAAAGUUUACCCUAUCAAUAUAUCCCAAACAGGUACUAUAAUCAGUCUUUUGAACAUUGAGGUCACUGGUGGACUUUUUUCUUCUGUGAAGGAUUUCAGCAACAAUGAGCAAAUUGCAAAAAUGAAGAACAGCAAUAAAAGUCUUUCCUUGCAUAUAAUCAUGUCCUUUAGAUUUUGUGUUAAAAAAUCUAUCUUUUAUCUUUCAUUGGCUAACAUAUGUCCAGGGCUUGAAAAUUCCCGAUUCCCAUUACCUCAGGAAAAUAAUUAUCUAAGCAAGGAAAGUGAAAUACUAUAAGAAAUUUCCAUUGGGUAGGCUUCUUUUGUAAAGUUUUGUUCUAACAUUCAACAGUGGGCAACCUUAUUUUUCUAAAUGGUUAGGAUAUUCAAGCCUGAAUGUCAUUCAAUUUUCAAGAGUUAUACUCCUGUUAACCUAUUUUUUUUCACAUUUCAUAUGCAUUGUAUCAAUUUUCAAAGAGUUGGAUUGUGAUUGGAAUUUUCUAUUGUAGUAUUUUGCUCUUUGAAAGAUUGGCUGACAAUAAUUUGCUCAAGAAGAUAGAAAUUUUUUGUCUGCCUUUGAGUUUAGUCUGACAUAUUAGUCACUUUAAUAAAAGUAUUUUGCAUAUAUAUACACCAAUGUAAUAAUUUUGGCGUAAGCACUGCAUUGCCGUCUCAUUUUUCUUAUUCUUGUUAUUUUAAAGAUGAACACAUAUUUAAAUAAUCUGAGUAUAUCUGAUUUAAAAUAAGACAGUGUUUAUUAAAUAUAUUGUUUAAAAAUAUCUUUACAACUGUAUCAUGUGUAUGUAUCAUGAUACAUAUAUUGAUGUGAAACUAAAUGAGUAUUGACUCAAACCUUCAAAACAAAAUUAUUUAUAGUCAAAACAAUUUUAAGUUAACACAUUUAUUAAAAAUAACUUGAAUACAUGUAAAACUAAUCAUGUUAUUAAAAUAAGCAUCUGCCUAAAGUACACUUCAUCCCAAAAUUAAGGUUUUUCAACAAAAAUGUAAUAUUUAACCUUUACUUUAAAUUGAAUUGAAGAAAACAAAAUACCAAGUUAUAUGUUCAACUUUGAUUCAAAAGAGUUGUUCCUUAAUUACUCAAAGUAUACCCUGUAAAAUAAAUUGAUUCUCAAAAUCCCAAAUUUUUAACAUAAAACCCAAAAUUUCCAUAAAUAUAAUGAACCUCGUAAUAAACCCAUUUGGUUUAUCUCUGUAUUUAAAGAACAGCAUUAGAAGUAUCCAUUCCAAAAUUCUUUACUAACUUUUUGUACAAAAAAAGUACAAAAAAAAACUUCUUUAUUUUAUGUCACCCCCCCUUAUUAAAGGUUUGCAUUAAGGUUUUUUUAUUGUCAAUCAUAGGUCAGUAAUUUGAAAAAACAUAUUCAACAAACACCAACAUCAAUAUAACAUGUUAGUAGGUUUAUAUGGUGGAAAUUGUCAGGUAUGAUAGCAAAGAUAUAUAAAAUUGGCCUGAAUAAACAGUUUACACCCCCUAAUAUGACCCAAUUUGAAUUAUCCGCCAGUAAUUUAAAAUAUAUUUACCCGGAGAUAUUUGUUCAUUAAUGAUUAGCUAAAUACCUAAUCUUUAAGUCUAGUGAGUCAUGUUUUGGCUAUAUUUCUGCAAAAAAAAUAUUUUAGGGACCAAAUUUGGUCAAAUUUGACUCUUUUUGCCUAAGAUCCACAGUACCUAAAAUAGCUAUUAGCUCUAAUAUUCUAUACUGUAUGUCACUGUAUAUGAUUUACUUGAAUAAAUAUAUUUUAAUCAAG